rnacentral:rRNA from 1 species
UCCAGACUCCUACGGGAGGCAGCAGUGGGGGAUAUUGCACAAUGGGGGAAACCCUGAUGCAGCGACGCCGCGUGAGUGAAGAAGUAUUUCGGUAUGUAAAGCUCUAUCAGCAGGGAAGAAAAAAGACGGUACCUGACUAAGAAGCCCCGGCUAACUACGUGCCAGCAGCCGCGGUAAUACGUAGGGGGCAAGCGUUAUCCGGAUUUACUGGGUGUAAAGGGAGCGUAGACGGCAAUACAAGUCGGAGGUGAAAUACCCGGGCUUAACCUGGGAACUGCUUUGGAAACUGUAUGGCUGGAGUGCUGGAGAGGUAAGCGGAAUUCCUAGUGUAGCGGUGAAAUGCGUAGAUAUUAGGAGGAACACCAGUGGCGAAGGCGGCUUACUGGACUGUAACUGACGUUGAGGCUCGAAAGCGUGGGGAGCAAACAGGAUUAGAUACCCGCGUAUA